rnacentral:rRNA from 1 species
AACGAACGCUGGCGGCAUGCCUAACACAUGCAAGUCGAACGAGACCUUCGGGUCUAGUGGCGCACGGGUGCGUAACGCGUGGGAACCUGCCCUUAGGUUCGGAAUAACUCCCCGAAAGGGGUGCUAAUACCGGAUAAUGUCUUCGGACCAAAGAUUUAUCGCCUUUGGAUGGGCCCGCGUUGGAUUAGCUAGUUGGUAGGGUAAAAGCCUACCAAGGCGACGAUCCAUAGCUGGUCUGAGAGGAUGAUCAGCCACACUGGGACUGAGACACGGCCCAGACUCCUACGGGAGGCAGCAGUGGGGAAUAUUGGACAAUGGGCGAAAGCCUGAUCGAGCAAUGCCGCGUGAGUGAUGAAGGCCUUAGGGUUGUAAAGCUCUUUUAACCGGGAUGAUAAUGACAGUACCGGGAGAAUAAGCUCCGGCUAACUCCGUG